UCUCCGUAGGUGAACCUGCGGAGGGAUCAUUACAGAGCUCAUGCCCUAACGGGUAGAACUCCCACCCUAUGUUAUUAUAACUCUGUUGCUUUGGCGGGCCGCCUUUUAUUAGGCUACCGGCUUCGGCUGGUGAGCGCCUGCCAGAGGACCCCAAACUCUGAAUAUUUUUGUCGUCUGAGUACUAUAUAAUAGUUAAAACUUUCAACAACGGAUCUCUUGGUUCUG
rnacentral:misc_RNA from 1 species